GUUGAACGCUGGCGGCAUGCCUAAUACAUGCAAGUCGAACGAGAGGAAGGAAAGCUUGCUUUUCUGAAUCUAGUGGCGAACGGGUGAGUACCACGUAGGUAACCUGCCCAUGUGCCCGGGAUAACUUCUGGAAACGGAUGCUAAAACCGGAGAGGUAGCAGACAAGCAUUUGACUGCUAUCAAAGUGGCUAAGGCCAUGAACAUGGAUGGACCGGCGGUGCAUUAGCUAGUUGGUGAGGUAACGGCCCACCAAGGCGACGAUGCAUAGCCGGGCUGAGAGGGCGGACGGCCACAUUGGGACUGAGACACGGCCCAAACUCCUACGGGAGGCAGCAGUAGGGAAUUUUCGUCAAUGGGGGGAACCCUGAACGAGCAAUGCCGCGUGAGUGAGGAAGGUCUUCGGAUCGUAAAGCUCUGUUGUAAGAGAAAAACGACAUUCAUAGGGAAUGAUGAGUGAGUGAUGGUAUCUUACCAGAAAGUCACGGCUAACUACGUGCCAGCAGCCGCAGUAA
rnacentral:rRNA from 1 species